UACGGAGGAUGCGAGCGUUAUCCGGAUUUAUUGGGUUUAAAGGGUGCGUAGGCGGUCCGUUAAGUCAGCGGUAAAAUAGCGGGGCUCAACCCCGUCGAGCCGUUUGAACUGGCGCGCUUGAGUUCAGGCGAGGUAGGCGGAAUUCGUGGUGUAGCGGUGAAAUGCAUAGAUAUCACGAAGAACUCCGAUUGCGAAGGCAGCCUGCUGGACUGUAACUGACGCUGAUGCUCGAAAGUGUGGGUAUCAAACAGG
rnacentral:rRNA from 1 species